UAACGUAAUUAAUUUACGUUAACCGAACCGACUAGUGNGUUCGAUAGUGAAGGUGGUUUUGCUAUCACUUAUAGAUGGACCCGCGCCGUAUUAGCUAGUUGGUAAGGUAACGGCUUACCAAGGCGACGAUACGUAGCCGACCUGAGAGGGUGAUCGGCCACACUGGAACUGAGACACGGUCCAGACUCCUACGGGAGGCAGCAGCG
rnacentral:rRNA from 1 species